GGAAAUCCACAGCAACUCGAAAAAAAGAGAGGCCGUCUCGUGUCGGAGGCUGCUGCGCAAUCGGAUCUGCCAACAGAAAACAUCAACUCAUGCAGCACCUGUGCUGCUCAAGUAAAGCAGCUUGUUGAAGAGAAUGAAGCUCUCAGAGCUGAAGUAGAGAGGAUGAAGCGGACGGCAGAGGAGCGCGAUCACGUUGCUGAGGCAGCCAAAUUAGUGAAAAGGUUGCGAAAGGCCCUGGGAAAGGUCGAAACCAAAACACAACAAGCAGCUGAACCUGUUGUUGCUUGCCCAAAGGUAGAUAUAUCUAUCCUAUCCGCCGUCUUAGCUAGUGUCAUAAAUGCAUGAAAUGAUACUGUGAGAAAAAUGAAUUUUUUGCACUAUCCUUUAAGUUCUCUGCAAGCUCCAAGUCUGGCAACCGUUCCAACAUCCACAUUCUUUGGUAUUUAUGUGUGUGUAGCUCUAGGAGUGUUAGCGAGUGCCACUCAGGCCAAUCCAGUGGAUGCGGAACAUUCUUCUGGCCAAUGGUAACACGUAGUAUGUGAACUUUAUGAGUAGGCAGCUGACCAAUAAACUGUCGUAUGUUAUUUUAAGGCAUCAAACCUGCGUGAUUCAAGACCCUUGCUAUGAAAUGAAGGAGAAAGGGAACUGAAGGCCCACUUUUCUGAAACACAUUGAUGUGAAACCAACAGAUAUGCCAAGUAUAGCAUA